GUAACGCGUGAGGAACCUGCCUCAAAGAGGGGGACAACAGUUGGAAACGACUGCUAAUACCGCAUAAGCCCACGGCUCGGCAUCGAGCAGAGGGAAAAGGAGCAAUCCGCUUUGAGAUGGCCUCGCGUCCGAUUAGCUAGUUGGUGAGGUAACGGCCCACCAAGGCGACGAUCGGUAGCCGGACUGAGAGGUUGAACGGCCACAUUGGGACUGAGACACGGCCCAG
rnacentral:rRNA from 1 species